CGUGAAAUUAAUUCUAAAGAUCCAAAGGAGUUGGAGGUUUGCAACCACUUGACUUGGAAAUUGAGAGAGGUGUCAAGCAAAGGAGAAAAGAACAUCGUGC